UCAAGAAUCUUAUCAAGCAACGGCAAUAUGAUGAAGCUGUCAGAUUCAGCCGUGUAUAUAACUUCAGCGACAAUAAUCAACUAGUUGAUCUCUUUGAAGAACAUGUGCAGAAUCUAAAACUAAUUUCUGAGAGCAUUUGCAAGGAAACCAACUCCAUUGAAAUUAAGGACAAGGCCAGAGAUCAAGAAGUUGCUAGUCUCAAAGCUGUUCUACAGUGCAUUAUAGAUAACAACCUAGAAUUCAAGGAUCUACUUAACAAGAUUGACAAUCGUAUUCUUGAGCUACAGAGAGGCAAAGAGUGUUUUUACUGGAAACAGCGAGUGUUAUCCUCCUAAUAAGAAACAACCUAAUGUAAAGAUAUGUGGUAGAGAAAACCCGCUAACACAUUCCCUUGUAAACGAGUUAACAGAUUUAUCGCAGAACUAGUCAGUUUUGAUAAAGUGAAAUUUUGUUGCAGCUUGUAGAUUUUGUUCAGAAUGUCAUCAGAAAGUAGCAAUAUAUUGAAGCUGUUAGAUUCAUUUGUGCAUAUAAUAACACGGCUGAAAGGUAAAUAGUAUUGGUAUAGGAAGCACAUCAUGUAUUAACAGGGUUCUCUCUAUUCCUCUUUGUUGAGAUAGUGUAGUAUUUGUUUA